rnacentral:rRNA from 1 species
UACGAAGGGUGCAAGCGUUAAUCGGAAUUACUGGGCGUAAAGCGUGCGUAGACGGUUAUGUAAGUCAGAUGUGAAAGCCCCGGGCUUAACCUGGGAAUGGCAUUUGAGACUGCAUAGCUAGGGUGCGGAAGAGGGAAGCGGAAUUUCCGGUGUAGCGGUGAAAUGCGUAGAUAUCGGAAGGAACACCAGUGGCGAAAGCGGCUUCCUGGUCCAGCACCGACGUUCAGGCACGAAAGCGUGGGGAGCAAACAGG